GACGAACGCUGGCGGCGUGCCUAAUACAUGCAAGUCGAGCGGAUUGUUCCUUCGGGAACAGUUAGCGGCGGACGGGUGAGUAACACGUAGGCAACCUGCCUGCAGGAUCGGGAUAACUACCGGAAACGGUAGCUAAGACCGGAUACGAGACUUUGACGCAUGUCGAGGUUUGGAAACACGGAGCAAUCUGUGACCUGUAG
rnacentral:rRNA from 1 species